UACGUAGGGGGCGAGCGUUGUCCGGAUUUAUUGGGCGUAAAGAGCGUGUAGGCGGUUCGGUAAGUCUGUCGUGAAAUCCUGAGGCUCAACCUCGGGCGUGCGAUGGAUACUGCCGGGCUAGAGGGUGGUAGAGGCGAGUGGAAUUCCCGGUGUAGCGGUGAAAUGCGCAGAUAUCGGGAGGAACACCAGUAGCGAAGGCGGCUCGCUGGGCCACACCUGACGCUGAGACUCGAAAGCGUGUGGAGCAAACAGG
rnacentral:rRNA from 1 species